rnacentral:rRNA from 1 species
UCCUACGGGGGGCAGCAGUGGGGAAUAUUGCACAAUGGGGGAAACCCUGAUGCAGCGACGCCGCGUGAGCGAAGAAGUAUUUCGGUAUGUAAAGCUCUAUCAGCAGGGAAGAAAAAUGACGGUACCUGAGUAAGAAGCACCGGCUAAAUACGUGCCAGCAGCCGCGGUAAUACGUAUGGUGCAAGCGUUAUCCGGAUUUACUGGGUGUAAAGGGAGCGUAGACGGCAGGGCAAGUCUGGAGUGAAAGCCCGGGGCGCAACCCCGGGACUGCUUUGGAAACUGCAAUGCUAGAGUGCUGGAGAGGG